CCUUCCUUCCUCUGCUCGUCCGCCUGACUGACAUCGCUCGCUGUGCCAAAGCCGACGCCUACAAAGCAACGGAAAAGCUAAAGCAAAACCACUGCCUGCCCUCGCUGCUCCUCCGCCUAUCACGCCAAACCCAAGCACCCAUUCCUCGUCUCGUCUCGUCUCGUCUCAUCCCGUCGUCGACCCCUUCCCCGAAAUGCGAUACCUCGUACUACCAUAGAAGUCGAUCGAACCACCCACCCACCCAACCGCAACCCACCAGCCCGGAAUCGAGGCGCACGCCGAUCGAGCCACCACCACCACCACCAUGCCGCCGCAGGCUGCCACCGUCGUUUCGCAGCAGGGCGACUGCUGCCGCCACGGGCAGCCCCCCCGCUGGCACGCCGGAGGAGCAGGAGGCGAGCCGCUGCCCUUCUACCUGCCGCAGCGCAAACGUCUAUCCGUGGACGGGAGCGCGAAGCCGCCGGGCCCGCGGAUAUGCAUCUGGGAGUGCGACGGCGAGGCGGGCGACAUCACCUGCGACAUCGUCGCCGCGCCAUUCCGGCGCAGCUGCAGCGCCAGGCCGACGCAGGCCCCUGCCGCCCCGUUCUUCCGGAUGAUGACGCCCCCGCCGCCGAGGCCGCAGAGGGUGGCCGAGGCGGAGGAGGAGGCCAGCAAGCCCGGGAAGGCCAUCCGCAGGGGCCACCGCAGCUACGGCCUCAUGCUCAACCUGCAGCUCGGCAUAAGUUAUUCGGUGGGCAAGUCGUCGGCGCUGCCGUUCAAGAAGCUACUGGCGUCAGACUUCGACCCGCGGGAGAAGGUGUGGACGCGGUUCCCGCCGGAAGGGUCCAAGCUCACGCCGCCGCAUCACUCCGUCGAUUUCCGGUGGAAGGACUACUGCCCUGCAGUAUUCAGGCAUCUGAGGAAAUUGUUCGGGGUGGACCCUGCGGACUACAUGCUUGCCAUCUGCGGCAACCACACGCUCCGGGAGCUGGCGUCCCCGGGGAAGAGCGGGAGCUGCUUCUUCGUGACGCAGGACGAUCGAUUCAUGAUCAAAACCGUGAAGAAGGCUGAAGUGAAGGUUCUUAUUAGGAUGCUGCGGAGCUACUAUGAACAUGUUCGUCAGCACAAGUCCACCUUAUUGACGAGAUUCUAUGGCACACAUUGCAUUAAGCAAGUUGGAUGUCCCAAGGUCCGGUUCAUUAUAAUGGGAAAUUUUUGCUGCUCGGAGUAUAAGAUUCAUAGGCGUUUUGAUUUGAAAGGUUCCUCGUAUGGUCGGACUAUCGACAAAACAGAGCGGAAGAUUGAUGAAACCACUACGCUAAAGGACCUAGAUCUUGAUUAUGCAUUCCGGUUGCAAAGAUUUUGGUAUGAGGAACUUAUGAAGCAAAUUCAGAUGGACUGCACAUUCUUAGAGACACAAGGAAUUAUGGAUUACAGCUUACUGUUAGGAGUUCACUUUCGUAAUGAUUUAUCGGUGUCUAAGAUAGGCCUCUCUCAACCCAUUGCUUUGACAAAAUCAACUACUGGCAAAAGAAAAUCAUUUGAAAGCGGAGGCAAUUUUUGUGAGCUAUGUUUUAUGGAAUCAGGAUGCAAGGACAGAGAUUUGACAAUAGAACCCCGGAAGCCAUUUGCCCAGCUGGGCAUGAACAUGCCUGCCCAGGCAGAGCACAGCUCAAGGAAAAUACUGGACAAGUUUCUUCUAAACGAAAGACACCUGUUCAUAAGCACGCCCGGCGGGGGACCGUGUGAUGUCUAUCUCUUCUUCGGAAUAAUCGACAUCCUCCAAGACUAUGACAUAACCAAGAAGCUAGAGCACGCCUACAAGUCCUUUCAAGUCAACCCUGGCCGCAUCUCCGCUGUAGACCCCAAGCUAUACUCGAGGAGGUUCCAGGAUUUCAUUCGCAGGGUGUUUGUAAAACAACAGCAGUUAGAAGAAGAAUGCACAGGGUUAAGCUAACUGGCUAGUGUCCCUCUGACUUUUUUUACAUCAUGAGAUUGAGAUAUACUGGAGGGGUUUUUGCAUGAUGAGAUCCAUUGGUGAAGCUUAUAGUAUGAUGGCAUCGCUGAUCCCGAGCAUGUCCUGGAGCAGUACGAGUGGUGGUCAGUUUUGCUACCAGACGGCCUAUGUAUAUUCUCUGAAUAUAGGUGGCGGCAAGCAGGGAGCUCUGCCGACAAGCAUGCUAGAACCGGAAGGAUGGGAGCUGAACUCGUAAAGCUCCCUCUUUUGGAAGACUUGCGAACUAUGAGAUGGCCAAUCCCUCGGCAGGGCUCGGCCGUCCGGUUGAAUUUUCAAGCGACGUCCCGUUUAUUCUUCAGACAAAAAAGAGAGGCUACCCUGUAGACAUUGUUGCCCUCUUUGCAAGCAUUCGCAGCUUAUCCUCUGCAUGCUUGUACCUGCCGUGACCACAGUCGAGAGGCAAUGUCGUUUGCCCAGUCGUGCUACUGCCUUGUGAACGGAAGCCAAAAAAAAAUUAAAGUGGAAGGGAGGAGACACCGAGACAGGCAUCAAAAGGAGAGAAAGCGAGGGAAGGAAGAUGCUGGGACAGAUCUGGUCUCCUCGUCUAAACAUGCAUGUUCUUUUCUGUGCUCCUCUCCCCAUCACCUGACCGCUUCUUUUUCCUCUCGACUUUGCUUUGCUCCAUGCCAAGGCCUAGUCACAAUUUCUUCUCCAUCUCGUGGCUCUUUUCGCAUGCGUUGCUUUGCACUGCUCCUCUGCUGCUCCUUCUGCACAGUGAUGGAGAUUGGAGAAGAAGACCAGGUGGGAAGAAACUUCAGGAUGAUGCAUGCUACUGCUUCUACGCAUGACGAGCUAUCCAUCCUAUGAAUGGCCGGAGUAGGCUGUUGUUUGCUGAUGUGCGCACCACAUGUACUCGCGUCAUUUUUAUGUACGUCAAGUCUUUUGAGGAAUUGCUUAAAGUUAAAGCCGCCUAUGUAUGCAUACCUGGAUGAAGCAAAAGCAUCGGCAUCAAGCUCAUCACCAUGUUAGUUUUGUGGUCCUGUGGUAGAUGUAGAGAUGGUGUUUGGGAUCUGUGUAUUUGUGACCACCGGUCAAAAAGAAUUCAACUCGUAUAUCAA